CUCACCGGUCACAAGAUAGACAAAACUAUCAACACCACCAUCUAGCUAUCAAAAUUACAUCUAAUAUAAUUAAAAUAAGAUGAGGUUUGCUCUGGCUCUACUCCCAGUGACCCUCGCCUUACUCAUGCUAGCAUCAGAUGCAAAUGAAGAACAAUGCACGACGGUAACCAAGAAAAAGUUUGGUGGGUGUUUGCAAGGUGCCUGUGAGGACGACUGCCAUGAAUUGGAGAAGAGGCACUACCCUGCCCUGAUGCCGAGUGUGUUCAUAAGGGGUGCAAGUGCACCUUCUGCAGAUAUCCUUGGGGAAAACAAAUAGGAGUGUAAAGCCUACAAGAUCCAGAUUUUAAUGGCCAACUAAGUACAGUGUUUAGCUAGUGAUGAGGAGGGACAUUAAAUCGACCCAGUUGACAGUGAC